CUCCUUUUAAAAAAAAUUAAAAAAACAUAUCCCCAAUCCUCUUUCACCCUCUUCCCUUCAGUUUCAAAAAAAAAAAGAAAAAAACGUUCUUCCCUUCGCCGGCGGCAACCGCGACCUAGAUCGACGUGGUUCGGUGGUGGACGAUUCUCCAACUAGCAUGCCGAUGUUGUUUGCCUCUUCCUAUGUUCUUCUUGAGUUGGUCUGGUUUCUUUCCUGCAAUUGUGGUGUUGCAUUUCUACAUUUCUACAAACCGGUUUUUACGAUGCCCUUAAGCUGUUCGAUGAAAUGCCCCAUUGAAGUGUCUUUGUUCAAUUACUUGGUAGUAAGGUGUUAUUGUGGCAGGGGGAAGUUUGGAGUGAUCACGGUUUGUAAUGCUUAGUUGUAUGGUGUUGUUCUUCUUUCUCAAGUGGUAUUGGACUUGGUUAUUACUUUUCUCUGGUUUGUUGUAGAGACAUGAUAUGGCACAUCAAGACUAUUGUUAAGUUGGUGGUUAUGAACUGAUGUGGGGCGAAGGAAAUGUAUGGGGGUGGGUUGUUUCAGCUUGGGUUUAUUUUUGUGUUGAAUAAUUUUUGUUUGAAAGGGUUUCACUGAUUGUUUGCUCUGUUCUGUCAUGUUGAGACAGUUGUGCAAUGUAACCUGUAUUGGUUUUAGUUUUUGAGGUUUGGAACUUUUCAUAGGUGCCUUGGGACUGUGGUACUCUUAUUCCUUAACUAGGUUUUACCUCAUUGAGUUUUUCCUAUAAGGUUUUAACGAGGCUCACUCCUAAGCUAUAUUUCGCUUGUGUUUUGAACUUUAGUUUGUUGCUGGUUCUCUAGCAUGAGAGAAGAGUUCUCAUGGUUUUAUCCUUA